GGUCCCGUAGUUCAACUGGAUAGAAUACAAGAUUCCGGUUCUUGAGAUAGGGGUUCAAGUCCUCUCGGGAUCA
rnacentral:tRNA from 1 species